rnacentral:rRNA from 1 species
AACGAACGCUGGCGGCAGGCCUAACACAUGCAAGUCGAGCGAACCCUUCGGGGUUAGCGGCGGACGGGUUAGUAACGCGUGGGAACGUGCCCAAAGGUACGGAAUAGCCUCGGGAAACUGAGAGUAAUACCGUAUGUGCCCCUCGGGGGAAAGAUUUAUCGCCUUUGGAUCGGCCCGCGUUGGAUUAGGUAGUUGGUGGGGUAAUGGCCUACCAAGCCGACGAUCCAUAGCUGGUUUGAGAGGAUGAUCAGCAACACUGGGACUGAGACACGGCCCAGACUCCUACGGGAGGCAGCAGUGGGGAAUCUUAGACAAUGGGGGAAACCCUGAUCUAGCCAUGCCGCGUGGACGAUGAAGGCCUUAGGGUUGUAAAGUCCUUUCAGCUGGGAAGAUAAUGACGGUACCAGCAGAAGAAGCCCCGGCUAACUCCGUGCCAGCAGCCGCCGUAAGAC